GUCAGCGAACGAGCGCGCGCAAUAGCGCGGGGCAGGGGUCGCCGCGGCCGGAAGCCCACGCGGGGGGUUGCAGGGACGGGUCGUAAGGGGCGGGGCGGGCCUCGAGGAGGCGGCGGUGGGGUCCCCGGACCUCCGCGCGUGGCACAGCCCGCAUCCUGAACUGACUCCCACUCGAGGACCACCUCUCCUCUCCCUUCUGAGGGCGGAACGGAAAGGCCAAGCGCCUCCUCGCCUCGGGAGCUGCAGGACGCCCUAAUUCAGCCGAGUCGCCGCGUGCCCGGGUGCCCGCGAACAGCAGGAGAGAGGACGGGCGCUGGCCCCACAGGGGUCGCUUUACCCCUUGAAGAGCUCCUCGCUGCCUGCCCUGGGGGUGGUGGGCGUCCAGGUUCACAGGGUACUUGAGCUUGCUGGGGUGGGGGUGUGUAUGAAGUGCGUCCAGGGUUUUGUGGAGCGCGUCUAGCAGUUGCUCUACUUCUUACUGACAGUGAAACAAGGGCGCCCACGACAGGUGUUCCCUUUUCGCUGUCGCUGCCAGGAAGCUUCCAGCCAGGUUCAGCGCCCAGUGGUGUCAGCCGGCCCAUCUCGAGCCUUGGUUCCGCUGUCAUCUUCUGGUGCUUAUUCUGGUGUUUAUCCAACUGUCCGUUUUGAAAUUAUGUUCCCAAGCCAUUUAACACCUCUGGAGAACCAAAGCACUGGCUGUCAGCGGAGCGGGAUGCACGCGCAGCGGAGGGGACUGGGCACGCCAACCCCACGAGGGUUCCUGCGGAGAUGACACGGACCUUGAGGUCUGAAGCCAAAGGACGAUUUGUGUGAAGGGAUUUUAUUGUUAGCUUUGGAGCCAGCAACAAGAACACAGCCCUGGAGUUCCCGGGGCAAAAAGGAUACCAAGAUAAUAAUUCAGGUAUUACGACUAACAUGACUGCAUUUGCACCCACAGGCUGUGGGACUUGGGGACGUUUGAGCUACAUCCAAAAUACAUGAGAAAAUCACACAAGUGAAAUUGGAUGAGAGUGCGAGGGGUGAAGUGAUACAUUAUGACCUAGAAUUAGGGGAGGCUUCCUGGAGCAGGUGACAUUUGCAUUGGGUCUUGAUUGGGAAGAGUGGAACCCAGCAGUCUAGAUAGGGUCCAGAGGUAGGAGGUACCUCGCAUCCCAGGCUGCCUCAGUUCAUGGUGAGAGUGCAGAUAUUUAGUGAAACAGGAGGAAAGGACACUUGGAAAUACACCAUGAAAGAAGGAUUGAAGUUCUUGCAGACACAUGGGAGUGUCCGAGGCUUUAUUCUCCUUCCACCUUGAGCCAGUGGAAUUGCAGUGUCUUUUUUCUACACCUAUGCAGUUUUUUCUACACCUGUGCAGUUUUUUCUAGGGGAAGAUCAGACCCUCCUCUUUGGGAGGAACUCUUGCUUCUUUAGAUAAUAGCAGUGACAUUUUCUAGCCUGAAAAUUAUGAUGUAUGCCCUGAUAGGUUUAAUUAUUUGAGAAGUUCUCACAAAGGUAUACAGAUGUGCUAAGAGUAUCAAGUCAAGUGAGUGACUCUCAAGCUUCAUUAUGGGGAAGAAUAUUUGGUUUGCUUGUUAAAAUGCAGAUUCCGGCCGGGAGCAGUGGCUCAUGCCUGUAAUCCCAGCACUUUCAAAGGCCAAGGCGGGCGGAUCACGAGGUCAGGAGAUCGACAUGGUGAAACCCCGUUUCUACUAAACCCCAACAUGGUGAAACCCCGUUUCUACUAAAAUACAAAAAAUUAGCCAGGCAUGAUGGUGUGCGCCUGUAGUCCCAGCCGCUCAGGAGGCUGACACAGGGGAAUCGCUUGAACCUGGGCGGUGGAGGUUGCAGUGAGCUGAGAUCGCGCCACUGCACUCCAGCCUGGCGACAGAGCAAAACUCUAUCUCAAAAAAAAAAAAAAAAAAAAAAAUGCAGAUUCCUGGGUCCCACCCCCAAAAGAUGCUAAUUUUGUAGAUCUGAGUAGGACCUAAGGGUCUGCAUUUUUAAUACUGAAGCAUGUGGUCUUCAAGCUUAUGGCAUGUAGUAGGGACAGGACGAAAAAUGAAACUGGAGAAUGAAAUGAAACCGAGUCAGUAUGAGAAGGGCCUCAUGCACAGCACCUGGAGUUUGGACUUCAUCCCGUGGUCUGCAAUAAACACAGCAAGAAGACCUUCAAUCAGAUGCAAGCACUUGAUCUU
rnacentral:lncRNA from 1 species